UACGUAGGGUGCGAGCGUUAAUCGGAAUUACUGGGCGUAAAGCGUGCGCAGGCGGUUAUUUAAGCCAGAUGUGAAAGCCCCGGGCUUAACCUGGGAAUGGCAUUUGGGACUGGAUAGCUGGAGUGUGGCAGAGGGAGGUGGAAUUCCAGGUGUAGCAGUGAAAUGCGUAGAGAUCUGGAGGAACACCGAUGGCGAAGGCAGCCUCCUGGGCCAACACUGACGCUCAAGCACGAAAGCGUGGGGAGCAAACAGG
rnacentral:rRNA from 1 species